GCCAAUAGGACGGAUGGUAGAGGCGGGUUACCCACUCGUCGACGAAUUCUAUCAAGACAACCGGACCUAUGUCCCCUGUAUUGGCAUAUUUUCUACAUGCGAAUUAAAGGGACUUGGCCCUGGUCCGGUAUCUGGAGUAAAUUCUUCGCGUCCGAGAAAAAAAUCUUCAUCCAGUUCGAGGUUUGCCAAUGAGUUCAGUGUGCUGAUGGAGCUGCAUAGUGUUCAGCAGGAGGAGAGUAGCCUGGUCACCGCACUCAGCCCUUACAGUCACAUCCAGCUGUAUUCUGUCUCGGCCCACAUGCUCUCCCCUUCGUCUCCACUCACCACAGACACUAUGAGUUCGCCGUAUUGUAGGUAUGCUGCCUGGUGGCCAGUGGCACCAUGUCUCUGUAAGUGUGUCCUCCAGCUGGCUGGCUCUUUAUGUGAACUAUGAGCUGGUGGAGAGGGUAAACUGGACUUUCCCUGGACAGGACAUUACCACUGAUGGUCUGCUGAUGCUGGGAGGCAUCAUUGAGGGCUUUGAGACACCAUUCAAAUUGAGGGCUUAUCGGAUGCUCAAAUGUUACUCUCACUUUUAUCUACAGUGUUUCCUAGUACAGUCACAGUAUAUCAAAUCAUCCAAACGUUUUAUCUGUUCCUCAUUAGGAUUUGAGAGAAGUUGUCUGCCACUCGAUGGCAGUAGAGAGCAGUUAAUAUCCC
ensembl:lncRNA